UCAGUCAAAGGGAUGACUUCAGCCUCUUUCUUAACUAAUCCUGUCACUGUAAAAUCCUACAGUCAUUCUUCCAACAUAAAGGGAAAACGGACUCACUAGGAGGACCUAGACUCUUUCAGCUUGAACUGUUAACCAAUGGUGGAAAUGCAAGAAUGCUGAAGUUGUGCCUUCAGAGCCAAUAGAGUGGAUUUGUGUGUCCCACAUGACUGUGUUUCCCCUGUCUUUCACAUGGGCAGUAUUUAGUUCAAUUCAGAACUGCAGAUAGUAUAGCGUGCAGAGCAGCAAUGGGAUGUCUGAGCACAAGUAGCUGACUUCCAGGCGACUUCAGGAAGCACAUUUAUACAUUUCUCCUGAAUUAUCUGGGAUUCUGCACCCUUGACAUUCUCCGACCCUCCUUGUCGCUGCAGAAGGAGACAGCGACCUGCACAGCACAACAAAACUACAAAUCACCACAGAGCUACAGACCAGCAAUGAAGAGAGCUGAGGGCAAUUUGACCAACAUCAUCUGUGUCAGUUCCCCAGAAGUCGAUGAAACACGUAAUCAGGUCUCCAAGACCACAAGACUCAGAAGAUCACUGUGGGCCAACCCACUCUGUUGACAUGACAAAGUACAGUUUGGUAUUCCUUUGGCCCUGAAGGAGUCUCACAUCAGAAGAACAGAAGAUUAGACUUCUACCGACUCUGAGAGACAGGGAGUGGAGCCAGCAGCAAUAUUUAGCAGAGUGACUGAUUUCUGGCACCAUCUAGCUUCUCUGCAACAGGAAUCUGGCAGCCUGCCAGGUUGAUCAUGUUGCUGUGAAUAUUUACCCUCUUACAACUUUCACUUGGCAUUUUUCAGGUACAGGCUAUACAGAACUAACUCUAUGCUUGCAAUUUCUCCUGUUUUGAUUAAUAUUGCCUGAAAUGUUAAAUUACCGAAACAUUUGCUAAAAUAUUAAAGUUUAAGUAUAACAUCAAUAGGUGAGCAUUACUUCAUGGCUAUUAAUGUAAGAACCAGUUACUAUACCCCAUCUACUGAUCUAAAGAACAGAUGUUUGCAUAUGAUUUAUGGACACUGAAAUAUGUGCAUAUCUUCCAUAAAUAGUAAUGUGUUCCAAUAACAAAGAGUAGAGAAUUGUGAUCCAUGAGACUGGUAAGUUGCAGGCAGUAUUAGAAUUUAUUUACCAAUUUCUUGGCUUUAAAGAAAAAGCAAAUCUCAUAGAGCCAGGGCCUGAAUCCUGUAGGCUGGAAAAGUGCUUACAAUGUCAAACAGGACUAACAACAUGAAGUAAUAAAUUGCAGUCAGGCUCAAACAGGCAGAUAUAAAAGUGCUUUUAGAACAUGAGUGUAACUAUGAUUUGUUAAAUAAGAGUAACAAUUUAUAUUGAUUAAGAUGCAAUAAAUCUAAACAGUAAGUAAAAAGCCAAUAUUACUGUGUGUACUUUCACAUUAAAUAUGGGCUUGGAAGUUUCUUUAGUAUCAAGAUUUAACAAAAUACUAAUCAGGUGAAAUUCUAAUGGGCGAAGCAUAGUUUUGAGCUUUGCAAUUAAAUUAUUUCUGGAAGCGCAAUCAAAUAUCUGAUUGAGCUAAUAUACUGCUCCUCACAUUUGUUCUGUUCCUAAAUUAGCUUGGCUAAUCAGUAUCCCACCUCAUAGCCUGUGUUGUAAACAUGUAAUAUUAGCUGAUGGGUUUCAUUUCAAGAGCACAGUCAAUUUUUGGACAGCAAAUCUAACCCAAAAAUUUAGUCAAAGCCUACAAAGCAACAUGUUUGGAGAUGUCACAGUUUCUGGGCCAUCAGAACUCUGAUAAGACUGAGUGAACUUCAGAUCACUCCGUGAUGGCUGUGCAUGUUAAACAAGUUUUGAUUUACUUUAAAAACUAGUUUUGUGGACAAUAUUUCACCUCAAAGUGUUUUCUGUUUUUCCACCCUCUUAUUCCAUGAGAAAGAACCAGGAAUGUACAAAAAAGCAGCCUUGUAGAAUGCAGAAUUUAAACAGCAAUCACAAUUUUUUGCUUCUGUCUCAGGCUGGCAUGCACUAGUGCUUCAAGAUGUUAUGCAGCUGCUCUCUUCCCCAGAGAUGGCUGUACUCCAGUAAAUGGUGAAAUACUCCCUCAAACUUUUUUUUUUCCCCAGCAGAGGUUAACAGAGAUGUUUCCAUAGGUCUAAGGCAACAUGAAAACAUGGUGAUUGUGUGGUCAGAUUUCUUUAAAAACAUUAGCCUUAGAUUUACUGCAUCAGUAAUUAGGAGCUGAUGCUACACUCCAACACACUGCAGAAACAACUGCAGGUAGUGUCUGUAGAACACAGUGAGAGUCUUAGAUUACAGUGGUUGUUAUUUGAUUCUGUUCUUGUAGUUUUUUAGAUCACAGAAGAAACAAAUACUUUUCAUUUUGUCCUCUUGAUAGCUGCACAGAUUUUUUACUUUCAGCAUAUAACUCAAAGUCAUCUAAGAACAAAUUGAAUUUCUAAUAACUACAGUCAACUGGAUUUAAUUCCUUUCAGUGGAAGCACAGCAGUGUCAAUAGUUACUGAGAUUUAGUAUUACUGCUGAUUUAUUGAAAGUAAAAUGUCAAUACAACAUGAAAAUUUGUCAUUUUAGAAAGGUUUCAUAAAAAAGAUGAACACAACACAAAAAAUUGAAAAUGUAAGAACCAAUAACUGAUCAUUCUAAUUCACUUUUUUUCCAGAUGAGCAUCCAGGUGUCAGCUGGUGUAAACCCAGAUACCACUGACGUCAAUGGAGCUGUGUCAGUUUACUCUAGCUGAGAAUCUGAUCCCAAGUGUGCUACUGCCAUUUUUAGAUGCUGCCACUGGAAUUGUGUUUUGCAAGACAAUUAAAAAAAACACAUCCACACAUUGCAUUUCUUCCUGUCCCCGAGUGUUUAACUGGAAGUCUGUUGACAGACUGUGGGAGAGGGCAAGUGGGAGGUGGAAGUAGCCAACAACUGCAUCCAUGAGAUAACUUUGCAGUAUCAGUAUGAACACUGUUCCGCUGUCUUCCUUUUAUACAAACGAAUAUUUGGCUUCAAAAAGUUUUAACUCCACCUUCCACUAACAAACAAUUCCAUGUCAGUGAAAGAAAAAUGAUGCUGUAAACCACGUGAAGUACCUACCUCAUAAAUUUGCUAACAUGGUAUUUUAAGCAGUACACAUUCUGAAUAGACAUUCUGUUUUAAUGCAACAUUAGAAAAAACACCUAAAGCUACAAGUGCCCCAAGGCUGAGUUCUGUGUGUUCACCUAAGUAUUUGUUCCUAAGCAAUCUCCCUGCUGUACGAGCAGAAAGAUUGGUAACAGUUCCAAGGCAGCUGUUUGAAGUGGCCUGCAAGCCAGACUUUGAUCUGGCUGACAUCUUUCAUAUCUCAUCGAGCAUAUGUGUGGGCAAGAAAGGAGGAAGAGAGGAAAAGGUGGGGCAAUAAGCAGGGCAGGGUAGUACUUGACAGCUCCACCAUUUCUAAGCAGCAAGAGGGAGCUUUUGCCUCUGUUUCACAUAAGGCAGUUGUUAACAUGAGUGCAUUGUAUAACAGUUUCUCAGUAUUAACCACUGCAGUGAAGUUGGAAUGUUGGUCUUGUGAUUCAACAUAGCAAGGUCAAAAUGGAAAAGGUAAUUAAUUAGAACUGAAGAUGCAGUUCACAUAGUAUUGAAAUAAUUGCCUAUUUGUGCAAGAACAACAACCAUAUCUUCAAUUUAGGUCAGGCCAUCAAGAGGAGGAAAAGGACUGAAGACUGAAGAUGAGAUGCUCUACUUCACACAGUUGCCCUCUGGAAGGACUUGCAAAGGCAGUCACUUAAAUUAAAUACAGGUCAUCAGACAAGAUAUCUAAUCUAUUCCUAAGACAGGCAGCUCCAGCAGCCCAAAUCCCUAUGGCCUUUGCAGCAACACGAUGAACUACUUCCUCAUGUACCUCUGUCAAUUCACGUUAGGUUGCAGUUUUUUUAAAGCGAUAUUUCAUGUACAUCAUGACCCUAUUGCUCAAAGCAAGGAAAGUGCUUUGGUUUAUUUAUGACCUACUAACCUUAAAUAAAUAAAAAAAUACAUCCAAUCUGAAUGCUCACAUAAGCCUGCAGAUCUAAAAUAAAAUUUAAGAUAAAGCUGGCAUUUGUAACAGCUAGCUAAGCCCAAAAAGGGAUUUAAAAAAAAAAUGAAAACCAGAUGAAAAGAUGAAAGCAUAUUUACCCUGCAUAACCUGCACACAUCAGGAAUCAGGGCUGGAACCCAGAAAUACCUUUCCUACUUAGAAGUUUCAGCCCAUUUCCCAGGCUAGGUGACCAAGGAAAUACCAAUGUUUCCCAUGAUGGGGGUGGGGAGGCAUUAGUAACAACCUGUGAAAGUAAUUCCUUCGAAGAUGUAAUCCACCCGGCCACAAACUCUACACAGCUCCUCUCCUUCCCCUGCACCCCAUCCCCAUUUCCAGAUAUCAGCCAGGCAAGCCCCCAUACUGAAAUAUGAAGUGACAGAUGGAAGCAGGGAAGAAGGGCAUAGGAAUGAGUACUGAAAGAAAUGGUGUACAGAAAACAAGCUAAUAAUAGGGCAGAUCUUAAACAUGAGCAACCUAAGCUGUAAAGUUAAUUCAUUUGGCUAGACCAAUGUUGAAAAGAUGCACAUAAGACUGAGUUGGAGAGUCUUAUUCUCUCAUCACUCAUGCCAGUGUGCAGAGGUCUUCUCCUAACAUCCAUGGAAUUAAACCUUGGAAACUUCAGUACAACUAAAUGGAGAAAUAAAAAUAAUCACAGCUAAAGUAUUGGCAGCAAAUGUCCUGCGCUGCUGUACUGGGAAAGAAAGGUGGGCUGCCACAUUUAAUUAAAAUGUAUUUGGUUUAGCUGUAUUCAUAAUCAAAACCAGAACACAUCUAAUCCACCUUAAUAGUUGAUUCUCUUCUUGUCUACUUUUCCAGUAGGCUAUAUUUUAAAGAUUUUUCUUUUAGUUGUAUUAGAUGGAAAAUACAGUUGAGUUAAAUGAUGCAAUAAAUACCUCUACAGAAAACAACUAGUUGAAAGAAACAGUUAGGACCAAGUCCUUGUCAUAGUGUUUGUUUACAAAAUAGGCUCAAGCAGCACACUGAUGAUCUUUAGUGUGGGUUCCCUUUACACAAGUACAGACAAACCCCCAAACAUUUUUAAAGCCUUAUAAAUAACAAUGGAUGGAACAGAGAGAGCAGAGGGCAUCUUUAACCAAAGGAUAAGGUAAACAAACACCAAUGCACGUAAGUCAAUGAAUCAGUCACGUAAUUUCAGCACGCUAAAGAGUGGACUUAGCAGAAAAGAAUUCUAACAAGCUGAGCUUCAAGAACACCUGCAUCAGAACUCUGCUCGCAAAUGAAAAUAAGGUAAAAUGUCUGGAUUGUAAUGUUUUGUCUCUAAAACUCUUCUGCAACACAAAACCUACAACCUUAAUUUUUAAGUAUUUUUAUUAAUAGUUGGAACAAUUGAGUUGGAAAGCUCAGAAGAUGAGGAAAAAGUGCUGUGUUACUGUGGAAAUUUUUAAGAAUAAGGAUCACUGUGUUGUGAUCAGCUGGAUGUGCAGAACAUGCUGACACAAAAAAAAAUUUAAAAUAAAUAUAGGUCAAGCCUUGAUAUAUAGUCACCUUUUUUCCUCCUGAAAACUAUCACAACAGGUUCUGCAUGUGUGAAAAUUUGCAAGGAAAAAAGGGCUGUCUCUGAGAUGUUUUUUGAAAAAUUAAGCCUUCUUUAAAGAAAAUUUAUUUUUCAUCAAUCCUAAACAAGUUUUAAUCCAAUUGAACCAUGUCAAUAGAAGAAAUUUUCCUCAAUUGAGCAAUCUCUAAUUGGCAACACUAAUUUGUACAACUCUUAGCCAGCUUCGUUCAUUUAUGGGAUCUCCUGUUUUGUUUUACUGUGAAGUUCAGUCUUGUGAGAUAACAAACAACAUGAAUCCACUCGUGCCUGGAUCUCUAACCUUUAUUUUUAAAGCCUGAGUAACAGAAACAUAUUUUCUUUUCAUAGAAAGAAGCCUGGGAAACUGCCAGCUCCUUGCAGAAACACUGAAACAUGAUCAGCAGAGAAGGGUGUUGGUUUCGGUCUUGUGUUGGCUGAAACACAUGGAAAAACUGGCUUCAAGGAGGAAAAUGCAACCCAGCAUAUGUAUAUUUCUGAGUAUUAUAAAACAUGAGGCCGAACAAGGGGUUUCUGUGUCCCUUCCUGUGCCACAGGUAGAGGUUUGCAGGGGUGUCACACUCAGCUGCCAGCAGGUGUUGCACUGGCAGCCAUGUAAAGCCCCUAUUCACUGAACUCUGUCACUGCAGUUAUGUGCUCUUUAUGGCAAGGAAAACACAGAAAACAAAGAGCCUGUUAUGCUUUAACUUCAAAGCCUCCUACCCCAAGCUUCAGCUCUAUACCUCAGGCAGUGCAGCCCAGAAGAGAGGCAGCAUAGUGUCAGGUAAAGAUAUUUUUCUGCUCUAAUAACCUAACCUCUGUAGUACUUCUAAGAUAUUUGGAGGGUUUUUUUAAUCUUAAAUAUAAGUAUAGUAAUAGCAGAAGGUCAUCUGACAUUUGUCAUUUGACUGACAAGUAAAUUUUACUCUGAAGCUUUCCAAGUUCACAGGAAGGUUUUGUCUGAAAGGUCAUAGAGGAACCUUAAUUUUACCCACAAGUGCUGCAAGAAUCUUGCUGCACAAGAACUUAGGAGAUAGUGAUCUUCCCAGGUUACAGUUAUCAUUCUCCAGUUGCACCAAUUUCCUCCCCAUCAGGGGUAGAGCUUUUAUGAAAUCCCUAAAGCCUGUGUGCAAUAUUUAUUCUGUUAGUCUAAUUAAAGGUAUUACUAUGUACAUAGUUACUGAAGCUGUCCCCAGUGGUGCUUCACAUCAUAAAUAACAGAUGUGAAAUGUUCUCCUACUGGGACAAGCACUAGUAUCAAUUCUUAUGCUAUCUCUUUAACCAUUACAUCACCUCACUAUUUCUUAGGAUUUUUCUUAAAAUGAGAGAAAACAGUACCAUGAAAAUAAUAUUAGUUUGGGACAAUUAAAUUCACUAGAUCUUCACAGGCCCAUAUAAAGACAUAAGCAUUUUGAUAAUGUAAAAUGAAAUAGUUUUACAACACAAAUGAGCAAUACCAAAUUGCUGAUGUUUAAUUGCACCUGUCCUGCUCCCCCUGCUCCCUGGAUAUUAGUGAUCUAGCACAUAAAAUCUUUGCUAGUUUACUCUCAAAAUUAGCUUUCCUACUCCUAGCAUUGCAAUAGGAACUGAGAGUUAGAAGGACCAAAAAUGUCAAUACACUUUGCUUGUACAACUACCAGGUUUUCUUCCCCUCCUUGUGGGUAUUUUUCAAAUUUGAAGGAGUUGACUGUUUUGAAGGAAAAUAAUGUCUGAGAAAUGCAUUGUGAAUUCUGGCAAAUCAGUAUUCGUUCUUUUGUAGCCAGACCAAGAUAAAAGGCCUUAAAAUUUUCAUUGCUCUAUUUAUUUAUUGAAAUGUUUUGUCUCUGGGUGGAGUCUUUGAGGAUGAACAUCCCAUUCCUGCCAACAUGCUCAGACAGCCAUGUCCAUGCAGAGCUGCUGAUCCCAUGUCACACCAGGCAGUUGCCUGCACUGCCAUAUCAAAACAAAUAGUCAAUUUUUUGUUCUCCACUUUGGUUAAUCAAGAUUUCUCAUUUCUUCUGUUUUAAGAAACCUUCACAAGUUAUACUUAUGCUGCAGGAACUCUUCACUGUGUGAUGUUUUUAUAUGCACAAGAGGAUGGGCCUCAUCCAGAAGGUUUUAGACAACAAGUCACAGCAGUACCUGGCUAAAUUCUUUCAUCCUUUUGAACUACUUUGAAGUUGCUUUGUCCUAAGACAGCUAUAGUCAGACUGCUUUUGCUUUCUGCCUCAAAACGUAGCAAAAACAUAGAAACAAAUGAACAAUAAAGGCAUUUGUGAUUUUCUUAAAAGCAGCAAAACUGUUUUCCGGGAGUUAAUUUUUUUCAUCUCAGUUCUCUUUUCUUUGAGCCAACUUCUUUUUUUCCCAGACUGUUAGAGUUCAUAAAAAAAUCUUCUGGCUUCUAGCAAACUUAUGUUCUACUUUCAUCUAGAAAGGCAUAAAUGUGUUGAGCCAAAACCACAGUAUUCACCACUAUUUGAAACAAUCUGUGUAGGUUUUUUACAUCCCUGUUUGCAGCGUCCUGUGCAAAACUCAGUCCAUAACCACAGCACUAACCUCUCCAACUGUCCCCACACGUUGUGCUCUGGGUAAACACUCAGAUAAAUAGCAGCAGUCUGUGGAGGGGUUUUUAUCACUGGGAUCAAAAUAGCUCCCUCAACUUGUAUGUGUGAAUAUUGCCUUUAUCAUAUAA